rnacentral:misc_RNA from 1 species
GAUGAAGAACGUAGCGAAAUGCGAUAAGUAAUGUGAAUUGCAGAAUUCAGUGAAUCAUCGAAUCUUUGAACGCACAUUGCGCCCGUCAGUAUUCUGGCGGGCAUGCCUGUUCGAGCGUCAUUACGCCCCUCAAGUCCCCUGUGGACUUGGUGUUGGGGAUCGGCGAGGCUGGUUUUCCAGCACAGCCGUCCCUUAAAUUAAUUGGCGGUCUCGCCGUGGCCCUCCUCUGCGCAGUAGUAAAACACUCGCAACAGGAGCCCGGCGCGGUCCACUGCCGUAAAACCCCCCAACUUUUUAUAGUUGACCUCGAAUCAGGUAGGACUACCCUCUGAACUUAAGCAUAUCAAUAAGCGGAGGA